ensembl:snRNA U6 U6 spliceosomal RNA
GUGCUCGCUUCGGCAGCACGUGUACUAAAAUUGGAACGAUACAGAGAAGAUUAGUAUGGUUCCUGCACAAGGAUGUCACGCAAAGUUGCACUAGAGUCCAUU